AAUUUUGGACAAUGGGGGAAACCCUGAUCCAGCCAUGCCGCGUGAGUGAAGAAGGCCCUCGGGUUGUAAAGCUCUUUCAGCCGGAACGAAAAGGUCACGGUUAAUACCUGUGACAAAUGACGGUACCGGAAGAAGAAGCACCGGCUAACUACGUGCCAGCAGCCGCGGUCAUACGGAGGAUCCAAGCGUUAUCCGGAAUUACUGGGCGUAAAGAGUUGCGUAGGUGGCAUUGUAAGUUGGUAGUGAAAGCGUUCGGCUCAACCGGAUAUCCAUUAUCAAAACUGCAAGGCUAGAGGAUGAGAGAGGUUAUUGGAAUUCCCAGUGUAGGAGUGAAAUCCGUAGAUAUUGGGAGGAACACCGAUGGCGUAGGCAGAUAACUGGCUCAUUCCUGACACUAAGGCACGAAAGCGUGGGGAGCAAAC
rnacentral:rRNA from 1 species